UUUUGCGGUCAUAGCAUGAGGGUUAUACCUGGUCUCGUUUCGAUCCCAGAAGUGAAGUCUUUUUGUGUUUUGUUUGUGUACUAUGGUUUUUCUAUGGGAAUUUCAUUUCGCUGCAAGCC
rnacentral:rRNA from 1 species